CUGAAUGCUUCUUUGAUGGUCUCUUGACGUUGAUGAGUUGAAUCUUCCCUUAGAUGAGAUGAGGAGAAGGACCCACACUCAGUCACCACUGCCGGGUUAUUUGAGAGGGUGAUAUGGAGGCCCUCGCAAGGACUUCCCGAUAAGCGUUUUGGUUUGCAAUAUGCGGCAUGAACCAUGGCCCCUGAUUGCAGAUUUAUAUAGUUGAAUUAUCUUUGAUUUGCCUCAGCCAUGUUCUUUAGGAAGAAAUUACCUGUUUUGAUACCUUUUAAGCAGCUAAGCAAGAGGUUCUCUUAUAAUAAGAUUUUCAGAAAGUUGAUUAAUGUCUAUAUUUCAGUCCAUAUGUUUAUUUAGUGAACGUUUAUUUUAUAAUAAAAAGAAUCUAAGAGAAAGAUAUGAGAUGGGUCUUUUCUUCCUGGGUCAUCUAGACUAUUAGUGCUUUUUAAACGGAUGAUUUUACAGAAUCUCAAAACAAAGAAGAAAAGCCGGCAAAAUAAUGAUAGUUUCUGGAAACAAACCGACCGAAAUUAGCGCUUUGUAUUUUUAUCUAUUUAUUUAUAUUUUUGGCGUUUAUAUAAACUGUAGAGAUCUUUGUAUAGUCGCCGUGACUCAAAUUGUUUUUUUUUUUUAAUUUUCUGUCAUUGGCUUUAUCUGCUUAUCCACUUAUACUCCUUUGUUUCACGAAAGAAGAUUUAGGAGGUCACUUAUUUAAAAAAAAAAUUUGAAAUUCAUUAAACUCUUUAAUGGGGGCAUCGGAAACAGUACAGAAUUUCGAUUACCGGAGAAACAGUCCCUCCUAGGUUACAAGGGCAAAGAGAAGCUAUACAAACAUUUAAAUAGCUCAGUUUCCUCAAAGACAUUUAAAUAACCUUUUUACUAAAUUUUAAAUGCAUGUAUAAUGUUAACUGUGUGUUCAAAGAAACAUUACAACGGCUAAAGACCCGACUAACUACAGGUGUUAAUAGAAAUAGCUUUACUAUGCAUGCUAUUGCUAAUAGAACCAGAGAUGAUUGCCUUCUAUGAUGAUGCGAACAGAUACAUCUCUAACAUGCCUAUGCAAAUCUGAAAAGCCAAAAGCACAUAAAUAAACGAAAGGAAUUGUCAACCUAUUAUUAUCUACUACAUAAGUAGAAUAAAUGUGUUGACAAAAAAAAAAGUAAAAUAAAUGUGGCUAAAAAGUAAAAUAUAAAUAAAAACAAAAAAAAGCCGGCCAAAUAAUGAUAGUUCUGGAGACAAACCGACCGAAAUUAGCGUUUUGUAUUUUUAUCCAUCUAUUUAUAUUUUAGUCAUUAUCUCAAUUCAUGAGUUCUUAAACUUGGUUUUAUCAGUCGUCACUGCUAAACUAUCAUCGCCGUAAUGUAGAUUUGGAGUCCGCACGCUGUCCUCCUCCCAAGGGGCGAUUUCUUACUACAUCUGCUGCAUCUAAAGGCGAAAAGAAACCCGCUCAUAGUGACAACAACAAUGCACCAGCAGUAAAACUGCCAACGGAAAUUGUUGAGAUCACAAGUGACCCUCGGACAUCGGAAGAAGAUAAAGUUGAAAUGCCAGCCGAUGCGUAUGAAAGCACUCAAAAGGGAUGAUUACUAUGAAAGAAGCAACAGUCUCGGAGAUAAAUAAGGAAGCUCCCAAGAAAGAAUGCAGCAGCAGGUUGUUACUGUCAGGUAAAAGAGAUAUGGUAAAAGAGACAUAUAUUAUCCUGAUAGUAACUUUACAGUUCAUUGUGAAUAGCUUGUGUGACUGAUAGAUAUGCUCACAUACCCUUAGAAGGAUCAAGUUUGAUCAUGUCCACGUAGACUCCAGAUAUUUUCAUCGAGCAUUAUGCUCUGCUUUCCUAAGUGAUCACGGAUUCAAGCAGACACGAAGAAGUCUAUAGUCAAAUAUUUAUGUUUCGUUAGUUAAGAGUAAGACCGAGCUAGGGACGUUUAUUUGUGUACUUUUACAAGACAAUUCCCUCACCAACAACUUUAUAUUAAUCAAAGCAUAUUAACUGCAUAUAUUUAUAUACAAAACGUUUUUCUUUACAAUUAUAUACAAACCAAGAUUUCAAUAUAUCUUGCACAUGCAUCAACUCAACGCCCAAAGAAAAACAGAAACACAACCUCUUCACUAUCUUCCUACACCAAGCUAACAUUCUUCUAUCUUAUUAAAGCUAACAUACAAUUUAAAUUUUUUCAUGUUGAUUAUUCCAUAAAUGUCCCUAAUUUUAAUAUUGCUCCUAGACUAUUAUUAGUGGCGUUUUAUCAUUUAACAUAUAUAUACCUAAUCAUAAUAUAUGUUAAAAAGCAAUUGAUUUUUCCAAAAAAAAAAUCAAAGCAAAUAUAAAUAUACUAUCUCAAGUCCUAGAAUUACAUUAUCUGAAUGAAACAUAAUAUUAACUAACUAAAAUACUGCUUCUAUUCUAAAAUAAUACAUGUUUUAGAAAAUAUAUAUCUGAUGCAUCUUUUAUUUUUUUUCAAUGCAACUUUUAAUAGAUAGUAAUGGUAAAUUGUAAACUUCAAAAAAAAAUAUUUGUAUUUACUAAAUUUUGAUUGGUUAAAAUUUAUGGAAAUAGUUGGUCACAAAAAAAUUUACAUAUCAUACUAAGAUUUCUUAUGUUGUAUUGAUAAGUGUGAAAACCUAAAGCAUGUAACAUUUUGAAACAGAUGGGGUAUAAAACAUAUAAAAUAUAAAACAAUUUUAGGGCUUAACUUUCACAUAUACUAAUUAUCACAUCUUAUUUAUUUCAUACAUUAGUUAAAUUUUGUUUGAUAGUUAAUUUUUUUCUAUCUUCAUUUACAGUGAUUAUACAAUUACAUUUUAUAAAUUAGUCAUGCAAUUUCUAUUUGAUUACACAAAAAUCUGUAAUAACAAUAAUUAAAUUAAUUACCAAUAAAUAGCAAAACACCAAACAAAAAA